rnacentral:rRNA from 1 species
UACGAAGGGGGCUAGCGUUGCUCGGAAUGACUGGGCGUAAAGGGCGCGUAGGCGGUUUGUACAGUCAGGUGUGAAAUUCCCGGGCUCAACCUGGGGGCUGCACUUGAUACGUAUGGACUGGAGUGGGGAAGAGGGUCGUGGAAUUCCCAGUGUAGAGGUGAAAUUCGUAGAUAUUGGGAAGAACACCGGUGGCGAAGGCGGCGACCUGGUCCUUGACUGACGCUGAGGCGCGAAAGCAUGGGGAGCGAACGGG